rnacentral:rRNA from 1 species
GACGAACGCUGGCGGCGUGCUUAACACAUGCAAGUCGAACGGAAAGGCCCUGCUUUUGUGGGGUGCUCGAGUGGCGAACGGGUGAGUAACACGUGAGUAACCUGUCCUUGACUUUGGGAUAACUUCAGGAAACUGGGGCUAAUACCGGAUAGGAGCUCCUGCUGCAUGGUGGGGGUUGGAAAGUUUCGGCGGUUGGGGAUGGACUCGCGGCUUAUCAGCUUGUUGGCGGGGUAGUGGCUUACCAAGGCUUUGACGGGUGGCCGGCCUGAGAGGGUGACCGGCCACAUUGGGACUGAGAUACGGCCCAGACUCCUACGGGAGGCAGCAGUGGGGAAUAUUGCACAAUGGGCGGAAGCCUGAUGCAGCAACGCCGCGUGCGGGAUGACGGCCUUCGGGUUGUAAACCGCUUUCGCCUGUGACGAAGCGUGAGUGACGGUAAUGGGUAAAGAAGCACCGGCUAACUACGUG